rnacentral:misc_RNA from 1 species
AGGAGUUGUCUGUUUGAUGAUGGUCAUAUUUCUACAAACAUAGAUUUCAACAAUCUGUGUGUUCGUCUCCAACACAUCCUCAACUCAUCGACACUACCGUAUAUUAGGGUACUCGGCACACUCCUAAUGGACAAACGACAUUGCCUGCAGACAGUCUACAUACAUCUUUUGGCGGCUGUCGACGAACCAUGUCUGUCAGUGUAGACGAGGCACUAGAAUGCAUGGGGAGAUGUACUUUAUCUCACGUAUUUGAAAGACGCAAAACUUGGACGCAAUUUUUUCCAAACCAUGCUUAUCAAAUUGACUGCCAUGAUAUCUCAAUAACGAAUCGAUAAAUGUUUCUCAAAUUUUACAGACAUAUCAAAUAAAUGUCUCUUUAUGUGAACUAAAAUUAUGUUAAUGUCGACAAUGACUUCUUCCUUUUCGCCUGUAGAACUUACAAAUUUAAUGAACUUCUGCAUUAUAUAACUGUCAUUUUGUUAAAGAAAUUUUAUUUUGCUUCAUUCUAG